CUCAACUCUGCCUCCCGCAUGCUGGGAUUAAAGGCGCGUGCCCACUGCCCCACCCCCUGCCUGCCUAAGAAUGGCUUUUCAACAAAGCUGUUCGUCCUUUCCAGUGGCCACUGUUCCACAGUUCAAGUCCCAUAAUUCAAGCCCCACAGUUCAAGAGCGUUGUUUAGUCCGCAGUAGGGAAGGCAAAGAAGUCAGCAAAAUCCCACCUAAGGGCGCCCAGCCGUAGGAACACCUCCAACGCAUGACUGAUGAAAAGGUGGAUAAGGAAAACCGGUCGGUGCUAUCAUCCGCAGCACCCACUCCUUCGGGCUCAGCUACCAACAGUUCUUCAACAGAGACGUUUCAGAAAGCCACUGUGCCGUUGCCCUGCACCAUAAACUCAGGAGACGCCCCCUUCCUUCCCUUAUCUCCUGCAGCCUCGCCUCUGAGCAGCUAUGGCUCCGCGAACAUCAUGGAUACACUCAGAAGAGCGAUAACGCACGGGCUCUCGUUCUCAGUGAUAACCACGGCCCGUUCCGCUUUCUGUUCUCAUGCUCAACCAAAUAGCCUCCAGCCUGGGAGAUGUAUCAGUUUAUUACAGGCCCUAACUUUGAAACUUACAAAUAUGAGUCAAACCAGAGGGACUGAGAAACAAAGGAACACUGUGUAAACCCAGCAAGCCUGAGUUAAAAUAUAUAUAUUCAAUAUUUAAUAAAUAAAUUAUAUUUAUAUAUUUAAUAUAUAUCUUUUGACCAAAUUAGCAACAGACAUUUCAUCUCCCAGAUCAGUGCGUUCAUUUACUUCAGGACUGGCUUACAGUGCACCUCUGUCAUCUACUGACCCUCUCCACACACUACUACACACCGCUGUGUAUGUCUGGCACCACCAGAGAGCAGGCAUUGAACUAUGUAUGAGCCAGAAGCAGACCGCCGUAGCUGGCUCCAGCCACUUCCGUCAUUGAUAUCCUUGGGCAAUUUCUCUGAAACUCUGAACGCAAUUUUCUGCACGAGGUUGCUACGAUGCCAGAGACAGGUGAAGCUAAGAAAGCUUCCGGGUCUAACCAAUGCAUGAGCACACACCUAAUUUUGAAUUCCAAUUUCGUGUCCUUUUCUUAAGGGAAAGUCCCCAAUUUUAAUAAGCUUGAAGGCCCAGAAAACAUGAUUCUGUCUCCUAAUAACACCUGUUCUAUUUCAUUCUGGGAGCCAGGAUAGAAACAGCCUCUCUUUGGCUCCAACGUUGCUCUGUAGCCCGUGCUGAUACCAUGUAAUAGGUGAGCCUUAUUGGUGUCCCUGUAAGCCCCUUGAAGUACGUGAGCCCCCACCCCAGGGCUCAACUGCCAGGUUCUACUCACAGAACACUCCAACUGCCCUAACGGCUGGACCCAGCCCCUGCCCUACAGAGUAAAAAACCCAAACUCAGGAUUUGACAUUCCAUCCAUCCAGGAGCUCAUCCCAAGCCCUAGACUUGAAACCCCACCAUUCCCCACCUUGGAGAUCUCCACCCUAGAAAGCCCCUACCCUCAAGAAAUCCUAUAUAAGCCCUGCCUGCUACUCAGCUCUCUGCUGGUUCUCACCCGAGCAGAGGCAGCCACCCUCCUGGGUGUGGCUUUGUGGUAGUCCUUGGUUCUCGACUGCCAUCGACCUUUCCCCGAAGAGCAGUGGCACUCUCAAUCCCCCUUGAGUGUCUGCAAAGAGCUCACACUUGGUUCCUUCUCUAGACAACUGACCUUGGCUACACAGUAGACCUUGUCUUAAAGUUUACACUACAACCCCCACUGAAGACAGUUAUCCAGUCUGGUGUUGGGGGUGGCCCUCUGUACAAAAUGCCACCAGAGGACCAACACAGUGAUACUCAGACCAAAGCUAGGCUCCCUCUGCAGUCAUAGCCAUGCACAGCUCCUCCCCCUGUCCAAUCUUCUUCCCCCUUCUUCCCACAUGUCCCCCUCAGACAACGUGCCUGGAUUCCUACCCGGGACAGCUUUUGGAGAAUCCAAUCUCAGACAGAACGUGAUCAGAUCAGAAGAAAUCGGCUACUUUCUGUAUCGAAGGCAAAUCAAAGCUUCGCCAGCAAGCCGUGAAGAUGCAAAUCCAAGCCUGGGGUAUCGUUCAAGGAAGCAAAGAGCAGACAGGUCUCGGUAGCGUAGGCUAGCCCCUGCCUGUGGAAUGGACUAUGUGUCGAAGAUGAUCUUGAACCUCUUGUUCUCCUGCCUCAGCCUCUCGUAUACUGAGUUCCAAGCACAUGACGGCAUGACCAGGGAGUCAAAGUUCUUUCCUGAAGUCUCCCUCUUUCCUUUCUCGUUUCAGCUCAACUCCUUCCUCGUAAGUCCCUCUCCCAAUCCAGAAGAGAUGGCUCCCCGGACUGGUGAUUCUAGUCAUUUGACAAUUCAUGGAUGGGAGGGGUGGCUCUGUUGGUAAAGCACUCCCCUUGCAAGCAACAGCCCGAGUCUGAUAUGAUCUCCAGUCUGAUAUGAAAGGGUUAAUUAAUACUUAUCAGCUUAAUGUGGGGUCUGGGGUGGGAGACAAGCCGAUUCCGUGUCAUUAAGAGGCAUUGCCUCCAGGGGUUGGGGAUU
rnacentral:sRNA from 1 species